rnacentral:sRNA from 1 species
UUCAUUUUUGUAUUAAUACUCACGCUUAAUCGUCACGUUUGGUAGGGUGUCGGCGCCAUGAGCGUCCGGUUGCUAAACGGGGUUAGCGGAGGCCCAAC